GACAGAGGGUGCAAACGUUGUUCGGAAUUACUGGGCGUAAAGCGCGUGUAGGCUGUCUCGAAAGUCGGAUGUGAAAGCCCUGGGCUCAACCUAGGAAGUGCAUUCGAAACUUCGAGACUCGAGUCCUGGAGAGGAUCGCGGAAUUCUCGGUGUAGAGGUGAAAUUCGUAGAUAUCGAGAGGAACACCGGUGGCGAAGGCGGCGAUCUGGACAGUGACUGACGCUGAGACGCGAAAGCGUGGGGAGCAAAC
rnacentral:rRNA from 1 species